CUAAUUUCCUGGAGAUAUGGCUCCCUGCUUCACAGUGUGCACUUGCCUUGCUAUACUUCCUGGAUGUGCUUCCCUGCUUCAUUGUGUGCUCUCUGGCCUUGGUAGAAUUUAUACAGUGCUUGUGCAGUGUUUGUAAAAAACAUAUAGAUAUUAACUGUCAGUGGUGUUGCACUUUGUUACUACGUAAUGAACUAUGGUCUUGAGAGUUAGUCUGUACAGCGGUUGGGAACUGUUGGAACUAAUGCACUUUGUUUAUCUCUACUAAUUCCAAAUGUCGUUUGUGUUGCAUGCAUUCAUGGUUGGCUGUCAGACGAUAGCUCUAUCAUAUAUGUCUGUCUCAAACCUUUCCAGCUGACAUUUCCUGUAUGGAGCAUGUGCACAUGGGCCAUUUUGGCAGCGCUGUUUCAAGUCGAUUUGAUUUGUGUCCAGCAACAAGCAGCAAAUUGUUGGAGUGGCGUGAGGGAUCGUAGUUUCUGGUCGAGGCUCUGUGUAGAAGGCGUAUUGAAAAAUGACAGGCGCACCAUCUCCUUCGUCUUCUUCCCUGUAUGCCACAACUGUUGGGUUGCCGUCCAUUCCAAGUCUGCCGUGCUGUCUGUAAUGCCAUGGUGUCCCUCGAGCAGUUUCUUUGAAGCACAUCCGCAUGAGUCCCUGCAUGGAGGCGGUCUAGAGAGACUUGGGCCGAUGAGGUUCGGAGACUCUGCUCGUCAAACUGCCAUUGCAUGGAUGACAUGGCCGGCUUCGAACGGAUGAUGAUGCAAUAGUUGUGGACUUGUGAUAGGAUUAUGAACGAGGUGGUAUGCUGAUUACUUGUUAAAUGACGUUUUCCUGCUCUAUAGAGAGACUCAUCCAAAAUCAGCUAUCUCUCACGCUGCUCCAAACUGCUUUUGUUCGGUCAAGUCCGCUUAGAAGAAUAGUAUCAAAAUGACAAAAUGGCCCAUGAGUAUGUAUCCUGCACUAGCAAAGUGGUCAUUUGGAGAGGUUUGAGAUAGAGGGAUUUCAGAGGGGGAGGGAGAUUGUAUGGCAUCCAAACAAUGCAUUCAGCAACGAUGACAUUCGCAAAUAGUAGACUGCCGAUGUGCAUUAGUUCCAACAAGUAAUACAAAUGUGUAGAUGUUAAUCAAACUCUUAUGCCAAGUUUAUGAUGCUACUGGUUAUGCGGACUUGUCCAGUUGUCUUUUGAUUA